GUGAGGAUGGCCGAGCAGGCGAAGUCACCAGACUCAAGGCUUGACUCCUUACUCGCUUCAGAGGUAUCUGGGCUCCGAAUGGAGGCGUGGGUUCAAAUCCCACUCCUGAUA